rnacentral:rRNA from 1 species
UACGGGGGGGGCAAGCGUUGUUCGGAAUCACUGGGCUUAAAGGGCGCGUAGGCGGCCUGCCAAGUCAGGGGUGAAAGCCCCCAGCUCAACUGGGGAAGUGCCUUUGAUACUGGCGGGCUCGAGCGAGGCAGGGGUCGUGGGAACUUCCGGUGGAGCGGUGAAAUGCGUUGAUAUCGGAAGGAACGCCGGUGGCGAAAGCGCACGACUGGUCCUCUUCUGACGCUGAGGCGCGAAAGCCAGGGGAGCAAACGGG